rnacentral:rRNA from 1 species
AGAGUUUGAUCCUGGCUCAGGAUGAACGCUAGCUACAGGCUUAACACAUGCAAGUCGAGGGGAAACGACAUCGAAAGCUUGCUUUUGAUGGGCGUCGACCGGCGCACGGGUGAGUAACGCGUAUCCAACCUGCCCACCACUUGGGGAUAACCUUGCGAAAGUAAAACUAAUACCCAAUGACGUCUCUAGAAGACAUCUGAAAGAGAUUAAAGAUUUAUCGGUGAUGGAUGGGGAUGCGUCUGAUUAGCUUGUUGGCGGGGUAACGGCCGCAAGACUACGAUCAGUAGGGGUUCUGAGAGGAAGGUCCCCCACAUUGGAACUGAGACACGGUCCAAACUCCUACGGGAGCA